UCUGCCCUAACACUUCACUGAUGACCUCAAACACUUCUGUCACUCCCUUCUUCACCAAGAAAUUCAAAUCCCAAAAACCUUCAUUGGUCAUAAGACCUAAGCAAGGCAUUGUAUGCAAGGCAACCAACAACAAUGACCAAAAUAAAGAUGCUGUGGGAAAAUUGGACAGGAGAAACAUGCUCAUUGGCUUGGGUGCUGGCGGUCUAUACGGCACGGCGGGUCUCGAAACCAAUCCGUUUGCAUUCGCCGCGCCCGUGCCACCACCCGACCUAGCCACAUGCGGUCCGGCGGACAAACCUGACGGUACAACCAUCGAUUGUUGCCCGCCAAAAACCACCACAAUCAUCGACUUUAAGCUACCUGAUCCGGGUCCUAUGCGCACUAGGCUAGCUGCCCAGAACGUCGCAAAAGACCCAGUAUACUUGGCAAAAUACAAGAAGGCCAUUGAGCUCAUGCGGGCCUUACCAGACGACGACCCGCGAAGCCUGGCCCAGCAGGCCAUGGUUCACUGUUCGUACUGCGACGGUGGUUAUCCCAUGGCCGGGUUUUCCGACCUCGAAAUCCAAGUUCACUUCUGCUGGCUCUUCUACCCUUGGCACCGUUUGUACCUCUACUUCUACGAGAAGAUCAUGUGCAAGCUCAUCGACGAUCCCACUUUCGCUCUUCCCUUCUGGAACUGGGACGCUCCGGCCGGCAUGUACAUCCCCUCCAUUUUCACCGACACCACCUCCUCUCUCUACGACCAAUACCGGAACGCAGCGCAUCAACCUCCGAAGCUUCUAGACCUCAACUACGGUGGCACCGAUGACGACACGGAUGACAAGACUAGAAUCAGAGAGAACCUCACCACCAUGUACCAACAAAUGAUCUCAAAAGCCACAUCUCACCGCCUCUUCUUCGGUGAGCCCUACAGCGCCGGAGACGAACCGAACCCCGGCGCCGGAAACAUCGAGAGUAUUCCGCAUAAUAACAUCCAUCUCUGGACCGGAGAUCCAACUCAGACUAACGGAGAGGACAUGGGAGCUUUCUACUCAGCAGGGAGGGAUCCUAUCUUUUACUCUCACCAUGCCAACGUAGACCGCAUGUGGUCUAUCUACAAGGCACGAGGUGGGACUGAUAUAACCAAAAAGGAUUGGCUUGACACCGAGUUCUUGUUCUACGAUGAGAACAAGAAUCUGGUCCGAGUUAAAGUACGUGACUCGCUAGACGAGUCGAAACUAGGGUACAAGUACCAGGACGUGGAGAUUCCGUGGCUGAACUCGAAGCCUACGGCAAGGAAAUCGAAGAAUAAAAGAAAGGCGGCGGUUUCCUCAGCGGACUUGACUUCGAAGUUUCCGGCGACGUUGAGUGAGACUAUUAGUGUUGAGGUGGCGCGGCCGUCGGCGGCUAAGAGGACAACGGCGGAGAAGACGAAGGAGGAGGAGGUGUUGGUGAUCAGUGGUAUCGAGUUCGCCGGAAGCGAGAUGUUGAAGUUUGAUGUGUACGUGAAUGAUGAUGCGGAUGAGGUGAGCGGGAAGGACAAGGCGGAGUUUGCCGGGAGUUUUGUGCAUGUGCCGCAUAGGGCGAACAAGAAGAUCAAGACAAACUUGAGGUUGGGGAUUACGAAUCUACUGACGGAUUUGGGGGCGGAGGAGGAUAAUAGCGUGGUGGUGACAUUGGUGCCCAAGUUUGGAAAAGGAGCUAUCAUAGGUGGGUUCAAGAUCGAGCUUAUUUCUACCACCUGAUCAAUAUUCUCCUUGGUACGUACGUUGAUCCUGCAUGCAUAGUUGUAUUCGUGACUACUACUUCUGCCAUUCUACUGGGUACUGAAUUUAUUGGUUUCUUGUUUUUCUACCUGUAAGAUAAUUUGUAGAGAUCAACGUGGGCCAAACUAUAUAUCAUUGGUAUUUCAACAACACUUCAGCUUCUUUCCAAGCCCAUAUGACUACUAGCUAGUAGUAGCAUCAAUUUUUAUAGUUUCAAUUAUAUUUCUUAUCUUCUAGACAAUUUUGCGUAAAAUUUGCCAAGAAAAAACGACAAUAAUGAAUAAUGUGUAGAAGAGGUACACUAGAAGUUCUAGGAACUUGUCGAAUAAAAGUUAAACUCAACAACUCUUUUGACUUGAGCAUCGAUGAAAGAUUUUUUUUAACCACGUGGAUCUAGUCUGUGAUCUUAUUUCUGCGUUGGUUUCACAUCAAACUUAUGUUUAACAGGAAUAUGUUGACGUGAGGACUAAUUCAUGUUGAUGUUGUGAAUAAAAAUUAAGAAGUAAAAUAUAAAAAAAGGACAUCAAUUAGGUCAAGAGCCUAAGUUUCUAUGACUACCAAUUUCAAUUAGCGUGCCCUACAUAAAUAUAUUUGGACCAAUACCAAUUAGUAUGAUGCGUAGAAGCUUGUCCAGGUGAAACAAGGUCAUUGAUCAUGUCCAUUCUUCCUGCGUAAGAUAAGAUUCUGCGAAAAUUCUUCUACACACCAGAGUUCAAGUGAACCGAACAACUAAUAUGUAAUAUUUUGAUUUGGUCAUCCACGUCGUAUUAUCAUGCAUGUAUUCUAAUACCGUUAACAAAAUUGAAACAAAAAAAAUAGUCAUAAGUGUUUCCAACACAGGAGGUAAGGACCUGAUCGAGAUCGAAUAAGAGGUACUCUUAUUAUGAACACUUAAUUUGAUCGGAUCAAAAAUGAAGAUGAAAUGAAAGAACUUAGGGUAUAUAGUCUUCAUUGGAUCUUCGCAUACGGCGAUUUGAGGAUUUGCACAUUAAUGGUACAAGUGCACUUUGAUGCGUACGAUCCGCUCCGAAUAUUCUGCGACCAUUCACUUAGAUUGCUCCUAGGUUUUGUUACAAACUUUUCUUUGAUUACCCUAGCUAGUUUCUAAUUUAGACAACCACGUAUGGCUUAAAAGUAAACUUAAUUAGCUGGAUUGAUAUAUAUGCUUUGUUUCUUUGACUAGAUCGAUUACUUAACGUGAUCUACUUUCAUCAUUUUCAUCAUUCUUGACUAACAUAAUAUUUGGCUGAAAGGGGAAUGAACCAGGAGGUGGAGGGGAAUUGGGUGGGGAGAAAUCCAAAAACUAGCAAACAAAUUAAAUCACAUGGACUCCACAUUUGUCUUAAUCGCUCCUUAAUUAAACAAAAUUAUCCCCUUUCUGGAUUCAGACCUUCUCACCUAGCCUUCUGUAUCAUAUUGAAGUUAAUUACAAUACAGUAAUCAUCCAUAUCUAUGUAGUAAUUAUGUGAUAAACUUACCUCAACUUAUUGAUGCCCUUUCUUUUUGGUUCAAUCCCAGAGUUAAGUAUUAAUCUUUCCCUUCUAAAAAAAAAUAAUGAUAUUUCCCACUCCAUUAUUAUUAUAAUCAAUAUCAAUACGAUCGCAAAAAUUACGAAAAUAGAGUCAUCACGAUAAGAAUAUGGAUAUUGUGUGUUUCAAACAUAAUUAAAUAUGAGUUUAUUAAUAUGGCACCGGCCAAUUGUCAUAUUUUAAAGGGUUUUAGAGGUGGCCAUGUUCUGUGUGGAUGAAAUGAUGUACGAAUGCGUAAUAUAUUGCAGUAGUCUUCAUGAUCGUUUACAAUUUUUCAACAUGUUGUGCAAAAAUCAUUUUCCUUCUGGCAGGCAUUAGUUUUCUACACGUUGUGCAUAAUUGUUUGGUAACACUAAUUAAACCUCAGUACUAAGACAAUUAAAACAAAAAUACAACAUAAUUUAAUUAGAAGAAACCUUUUGAAAUAGUGUAUGUUUAGCUCAUAUACAAAAAUAUGAUGUAGAACGACGUGCAAAAAAGUUCGAGGUGUUACGACAUUGUUUUUCGAAAUGUUCCUCAAACUCUUGCGGAAGUCCUUCUACAUCAAAAUAGGAUUACUCUUAUUAUUAGACCUUUAUGAACUAUAUAUAGUCUUGAUAUCACCGGCCGACUAUGGUUUAAAAUGGACUAGCUUAGUAUAUUCUGAUCAAUUUUUGGUAUAUUCUAAUCAAAGACUACUUUCUCUCCGAUCUUAUCCUAAAAAAUAAGCACCUCCAUCGGAUUAAGACGCUAAUUAACGUUAACAUUAAUUAUGUAGCAGACAGAAGAUUCGUCGUAAACUCCUAUUAUAUUAUCCCACGUGGUGCAAGCCUUGGUCGUAAUUUUAUAUCAUACUUUGUCAACUAGAUCCGGCUGCCAAAUUUCAUCGAGCCAACUUUGCAUGGAUAUUGAAGAAAAGUAUGACCAAGGUUUCAUUAUAAAACCAAAGCCUCCUCUGAGCUUUCCAUUGUACCAGAGGCCAUGGCUUCUCUCUCACCUCAACUAGUCACCACGACUACCGUUCCAUCUUCUACAACUUCCCUCUCAGCUUUCUCACAUAGCUCUCAGGUUUCCUUAAUCGGAAAACCUAGGCAGUUCAUCCGUACUAGGGUUUCAUGCAAAGCCACAAACAGCGACCAAAAUGAUGCACAACCUCCUGUACCUAAGUUCGAUAGGAGAAAUGUGCUUCUUGGUCUUGGAGGCCUAUACGGGGUUGUAGGUCUUGGAAGCGAUCCUUUCGCUUUUGCCAAGCCCGUCGCCCCACCCGACGUGUCUAAAUGCGGGGCGGCGGACUUGCCUAACGGCGUGGCACCAACAGAUUGUUGCCCGCCAACGCCCUCAAAGAUCAUCGACUUCAAGCUGCCCUCGCCAACCCCAUUGCGUGUUAGGCCUGCGGCACACGCCGUGGAUGAUGCUUACAUUGCAAAGUACACCAAGGCCAUGGAGCUCAUGAAGGCCCUUCCCGACGAUGAUCCCCGUAGUUUCAAGAACCAAGCCAAUGUGCAUUGUGCUUACUGUGAUGGUGCUUAUGACCAAGCAGGGUUUCCGGAUCUUGAGCUCCAAAUCCAUAACUCAUGGCUCUUCUUUCCCUUCCAUAGAUACUACUUGUACUUCUACGAGAGAAUCUUGGGUAAGCUCAUCAACGACCCAACAUUUGCUUUGCCGUUCUGGAACUGGGACAACCCGGCUGGCAUGCAGUUACCUGCCUUGUUCGCCAAUCCUAAAUCACCGCUUUACGACCAGUUCAGAGCCGCCGCUCACCAGCCGCCGACCCUGAUCGACCUCGAUUUCAACGGAACGGAGGACAAUACAUCAAACACAACACAAAUCAACAGCAACCUCAGCAUUAUGUACCGUCAAAUGGUGUCUAACGCCAAGAAUGCUCAGCUCUUCUUCGGCAACCCCUACCGGGCUGGGGACGAGCCUGACCCCGGUGGUGGCUCCAUCGAGGGAACUCCACACGGACCCGUUCACUUGUGGACCGGUGACAACACACAGCCUAACUUUGAGGACAUGGGAAACUUCUACUCCGCCGGAAGAGAUCCUAUUUUCUUCUCGCACCACUCCAAUGUUGAUAGGAUGUGGAGUAUUUGGAAGACCCUAGCUCCCAAAAACAAAGACAUCACCGACUCCGAUUGGUUAGACUCCGGCUUCCUGUUCUACGACGAGAAUGCAAACAUGGUGCGUGUGAAGGUACGCGACUGCCUUGAAUCCAAAAAUCUCGGCUAUGUGUAUCAAGACGUGGAUAUUCCAUGGCUGAACUCCAAGCCAACGCCGAGAAGGUCAAAGGUGGCAUUCAGUAAUAUAGCCAAGAAGCUCGGUGUGGCUAACGCCGCCGGUUCUAAAGCAAAGGUGGUGAAGAUUACUGAUUUUCCUUUGACUUUGAGCCGAAAGAUUAGCGUGGCGGUGCCGAGGCCCAAGCAGAAGAAGAGGAGCAAGAAGGAGAAGGAAGACGAGGAGGAAAUACUUGUGAUCGAAGGGAUUGAGUUCGACAGAGAUGUGGCAGUGAAGUUUGAUGUGUACAUUAACGACGAGGAUGACCUGCCGAGUGGGCCGGACAAGAGUGAGUUCGCCGGAAGCUUUGUGAGUGUGCCGCACAGGCAUAAGCACACAAAGAAGAUCAACACUGUAUUGAGGUUAGGGUUGACAGAUUUGCUGGAGGAUUUGGACGCCGAGGAUGAUGAGACGGUGGUGGUGACUUUGAUUCCAAGGUAUGCGGCGGACAAAGUCAAGAUUGGUGGCAUCAAGAUUGAGUUUGCUUCUUAAAUUAUUGAACCCCCAUAGUCAGGAAGCCAUAUCCUUGUUGGUUUAGAUCUAUAGCUAGCUAUUGAUCACCUACACGUUACAUUCUUCAAUUUCGUUUUGUUCUUUUCUUCUUCUUUUGUAUUUCUUCAAUAAUCAAAUUUUCCUGUACAAAAUAAACUUGAUGCGGAAUGCAUUUUCCGUCAUUUCCACCACUACCGCGUGUGCCCAAUUGUAGUCGAGCUCAUUUCACCAGAAUAAGGUUCUGUCGCUAACCAAUACGACAAUAACAAUAUAUGGAAUGCGACCUUUGAAGGUUGCAUGGACCUUAACCCUAAAUUCCGUCAUCAUGUCGAUUCGUAGCACGAUAUAUUGCCAAUAAGAAUACGCUAUAUUUUGUUGCUUGCUUGCUUAGAAAGGCAGAGACCAAAUCAAAUUCAUGUAUACACAUCUAUAAGACUAUAACCUUCUCUGUUUUUCCUUUGAACAAAAUGAUAAUGGUUUCCAUCAAGUUGUUGUUUAGAAAACAUGCCACGACUUCGUGACAGCCUCGACGCUCCUGACCGGUCUACAAAACUAUAUAUUAUACGCGUAAAUGAAUAUUCCAACUGGUUCUAGGUGCGUGUUUUCAGAUCUACAACUAAAUUCGAAGUUCGAACUCAAAUUUCCUUAUGCUGGAGGUAGGUACGUAGUUGAUAUAGACUAUAAACAAUUUGACUAAAAUUUUUAUUGGGGAAAGAACUAGCUAGGAAAGGGUGGUGGGGUGAGAACCCAAAAGCGUAAAGUCCUCGACAUGUUGUUAAUUACUUAAGUACUCUUUAAAUUAACCAAAUUAAGAACUUAAUCCAGCUAAUUCAGACUAGCUAUAUAUUCUCUUGCUUCUCCUAUAUUAUCACUACCAUCAUCAUGAAUCCAUCAUCACCACCAUCAUACAUGAAAGUUGUAUUAUAUAUCUAACCAAAUUAUCGAUUUGAACGAGUAAAUAUGAUAUUCAUUUUAGAACCCGCCUUCGAUGAUAAUGGCUGGUAACCUUAAGGUGACGACAGCCAAUGAACAUAGAACAACUGUCUAUUUUAAAAAGCUUGAUUGCAAUUUAAGGACAUCAGUCUUGAUCACCUGGUCAGUAAUUGACCAAAAGAUUUAUGAUCAGUCACCCUUGGAUGUAAAUCUAAUGACGGAGAAAAUUAUUUUUAAGUAGAGUUGUUUUGUUUUUAGCCUUUAGAUGUAAAUCCAACGGUGGUUAACUAUGAUUUUCUUGGUCAGUAACUGACCAGGUGAAUACUACUGUAAGGACAUAACAUGAGAGUUUUAGGUAUUUGACAUGUUUGUUUACAAUUAUUGUUAACACUUGUCAAUCUCUCAUUCGUGUUUGUCACUUAUAAAUGACUAUAACUUGUCACCCAAGUUAUUUCCUUUAUUUUAAGGCAACUCUCUGUAAUCUGUAUGUAUUCUUUCUCUGACGAUGUCAAGGCAUACCCACAUUUUCGAUCGAUUUUCUAAUACUGGAAAAUAAUAUAUGUACAACUUAUAUCAUCAUAUAUAACACUGAUACAAAUUAUUAAUUAACAUAUCUUUUACUUCUGGCAGCCAUUAUAUUACGUACCCAGUUGCAUAAUGGAUUUGGUAGAAAAGUUUUAAAACCUCUCCACUAACACUAUCAAUUUAAUUUAAAAAAAAAAACAUAUGAUUCUAAGAAGUAAAUUCAAUUGAUCAACCUAAUCUUUGUCACAUGGCUGGCUAGAGUCUCAACUACUCUUGAAAGAAAACAAUUUUGCGCUAUAUGGUGUAUACUCGCAGCAGAAGAGAAACGAAUUCCCACACUCAUUUCUACCUAGCUAGAUUGCAUAUCAAGCUUUCCCGUACAAAGACAAAUUUUUAACUAGGGUCACAUUUCAAUUAACAAAUUAACAAUCACAUAAGAUUGUUGAAGAAACAAGAGUAAUUUGUUAGGGGAAAAAAAUUGUGCUGAUCACAGUCCUAUUCUGUUAAAUGAAAAGACCAAGAAAUCAUGAAAGAGAACAAGAUGAUAUGACUGCUUAAUUGGCCGGGGUAGCUUUAAAUCUAGUAUAUUCCUCUAUAGAAGGAGAUUCCAAGUUCUGAUUUAUAUAUAGCACCUGAUUGAUUCUGAUUAAUUUAUCUUAAUUACUUCCUUCGUCAACCGAUCGAACAACAACUUGUCUGUUUCUAUACUGAUCUCAAUCAGAAGUACUGUACAACCAAAGAUUCAUUAUAAAAGCAAACCUCAUUCGAGCUUCAACAUCAUACCUAAACCUCAGAGGCCAUGGCUUCUCUGUCACAUUCACCAGUGAUCGCCACCACAAGCACCAUUCCCAGUACUACAACUUCUUUGUCUUCCUUCUCUCACAAGAAUUCCCAAAUUUCCUUAAUUCAGAAACCUAAGCAUUCCUACGCAUGGAGCAGAGUCUCAUGCAAAGCCACAAACAGUGACCAAAACCCUUCCAACAACUCCAACGAUGCACAACCUCUAGGCAGAACCCUAGACCGGAGAAAUGUACUUCUCGGUCUCGGAGGACUGUACGGAGUGGCCGGUCUCGGCACCGACCCUUUUGCCUUUGCCAAGCCUGUGGCUCCUCCUGACGUCUCCAAAUGUGGAGCCGCAGACUUGCCUACAGGUGCGCAAAAAACUGAUUGUUGCCCGCCGGUAGCCAAAAAGAUAUUCGAUUUCCAGCUCCCACCUCAGUCUAAACUCCGCGUCAGGCCAGCGGCUCACGCUGUUGACAAAGCCUACAUCGAGAAAUACUCCAAGGCCAUCGAGCUCAUGAAAGCUCUCCCUGAUGAUGAUCCACGCAGCUUCAAGCAACAAGCAAACAUUCACUGUGCUUAUUGUGACGGAGCUUACGACCAAGCUGGCUUUCCUGAUCUUGAGCUCCAAAUCCACGGCUCGUGGCUAUUCUUUCCCUUCCACCGAUACUACUUGUACUUCUAUGAGAGAAUCCUGGGCAAAUUGAUCAACGACCCGUCGUUCGCCUUGCCUUUCUGGAACUGGGAUGCUCCGGCUGGCAUGCAACUCCCAGGCAUGUUUGCCAAUCCUAAGUCGCCGCUCUACGACAAGUUCCGAAACGCCAACCAUCAGCCGCCGAAGCUCAUUGAUCUCAAUUACAAUCUCAAGGAUGCAAACGUCUCUGACGAAACUCAAAUCAACACCAACCUCAAGAUCAUGUACAGGCAAAUGGUGUCCAACGCCAAGAACCCUAAGCUGUUCUUUGGAAACCCUUAUAGGGCUGGGGACGAGCCUAGCCCCGGAGGCGGAGCAAUAGAGACUACUCCACAUGGACCGGUCCACAUUUGGACCGGUGACAACACACAGCCGAAUCUUGAGGACAUGGGAAACUUCUACUCUGCCGGUAGAGACCCUAUAUUUUUCUCUCAUCACUCUAACGUUGACCGUUUGUGGACUGUGUGGAAAACCCUAGGAGGCAAGAGAGAGGAUUUCACCGACUCUGAUUGGUUGGAUUCCGGGUUUUUGUUCUAUGACGAGAACGCAAAUAUGGUGCGGGUGAAGGUACGAGACUGCCUUGAUUCCAAGAAGCUAGGGUAUGUGUACCAAGACGUUGACAUCCCAUGGACAAGCCACAAGCCAACUCCACGUAGAGUCAAGGAUGUCAUCAAGAAAUUUGGUCACAAGCUCCACGGCCACGGUGUUGCUCACGCCGCGGAGACUUCUACCAAGGUGGUGGCGGGGGCUCAUUUUCCGAUAAGCUUGGCGUCAAAGAUUAGUAUUGCGGUGGCUAGGCCGCAGCAGAAGAAGAGGAGCCAGAAGGAGAAGGACCAUGAGGAGGAGGUACUGGUGAUUCAAGGGAUUGAGUUUGACAGGGACGUCGGGGUGAAGUUUGAUGUGUAUGUGAACGAUGAGGAUGACUUGCCUAGUGGACCGGAUAAGAGUGAGUUUGCCGGGAGCUUUGUGAGUGUGCCGCACAGGCAUAAGCAUACCAAGAAGAUUAACACUGUCUUGAGGUUAGGGUUGACAGAUUUGCUGGAAGAUUUGGAUGCCGAGGACGAUGAAACUAUCGUGGUAACUUUGAUUCCAAGGUAUGGGGCUGAGCAUGUCAAGAUUGGUGGCAUCAAGAUUGAGUUUGCUGAUUAAAUCAGUGUUGUGCUUCUCCAAUUUGGUGAUUACUUCUUGGCUUUCGAAUAAUCAAAUGUACGUUUAUAAAUAAUCAUGACUGUGUGGCAUGCAGUUUCGUGCAUUUUCUCCAAUGGAAAAACUAUAUAUAUACCUUCUUUGUUUAGCAAUGUAUGAUGAAGUUAAUCAUUAAUUUUUUCAGGUUGUUUGUCUUAGUUGCAACCUAACCGAUUAGAAAAGCAAGUGUACGUGAUCUUCCUUAAUUUGUGCGAUCGAUUUUGGUAGAAGCACGUAUACACUAAAUCAUUGGAGCUAGUUAAUCCUUCUAUGAGGGUGCAAUUGUGUUUUUCUUACUAUUCAAAAAUAACUAGUCUUUAUGGGAAAAUUCUGCUAUACCGUUUGCUAAUAUUUCAUGACAAAAUCUCUUCAACUAACCACCACCCUGGCUAAACAGGGCCUCCAUUUAGUCAGAGAUGUAUGCUAUACUGAACGGUAUAGCAGACAAAUCCCUCUUUAUAGGGAUAUGAUGAAACUUGAACAAUCUUAGUUAUAUCCUUAUUAUAUACAAGAAAAUCUUAGUUAUUUAUGUAACCAUGGUUUGAACACCUUCUAAAAGCUACCCAAGAUGCCAUUGCCCUCUAACUAAUUCAAAUGGAGUUGACGAAAAUGUUUAAAGUUAUCGAAUGGAGUUGACUAAUAUUCAGAUGUGCAAUUGCUAUUGAAAUAUAUAUUUUCAAACCAAAUUGCUAUCGAUCUGUCCCAAUUUCAGGCAAUACAUAUUGCUCAAAUCGUGGAUCAACGUGGACUAUUAGUAUUAUGUACUUGGUCUAGUCAUUAACUGCUACAUAUAUAAAGAAAAAAACUAAGAUAUAAGUAGAAAAUUAGAAACCAAUAACUGUGAUCGAUCAUUUCUAUUAUAUAUACCAGAACGUUGGAAAUACAGGACAUACCUUAUAAUAGCGUGCUCUCAAUGACUCUUAAAUCCUGUUGCCGGAAACAUUUUAAAAUCUUGAAUACCCAGCUAGCUUCCUGCAUAAUGGUCACCUUACCGAUCGAUAUAUACACACACAAUUCUUACCUGUACUGCUGCUGUACAUGUUCAAGAAAGAGCUAGCUAGAUCGAUGGAGAAGUACUAUUGCUGCGCGCAUAUAUUUUUACAACUUAGAUAUCCUUAUAUACAGGUUUUUGUUCUAUGCCAAUCUCAAUUUUGCGCCAUUGAAGUACAAUUACUAUUCUCGAUCUAAACUUCUAAAGCACGUACUGCUAGUACAAUGCACGUACUGCUGGUAGUCUAGUACAAUGCAGUACGUACUGGCGCGCACUG
rnacentral:lncRNA from 1 species